rnacentral:rRNA from 1 species
AGGUAAGCCGUACACAUGCUAGUCGAGCGGAACGAUGGAGCUUGCUCCAGGCGUCGAGCGGCGGACGGGUGAGUAAUGCAUAGGAAUCUGCCCGGUAGUGGGGGAUAACCUGGGGAAACUCAGGCUAAUACCGCAUACGCCCUACGGGGGAAAGCAGGGGCUCUUCGGACCUUGCGCUAUCGGAUGAGCCUAUGUCGGAUUAGCUAGUUGGUGAGGUAAUGGCUCACCAAGGCGACGAUCCGUAGCUGGUCUGAGAGGAUGAUCAGCCACAUCGGGACUGAGACACGGCCCGAACUCCUACGGGAGGCAGCAGUGGGGAAUAUUGGACAAUGGGCGAAAGCCUGAUCCAGCCAUGCCGCGUGUGUGAAGAAGGCUUUCGGGUUGUAAAGCACUUUCAGUGAGGAAGAACGCCUUGGGGCUAAUACCCCCGAGGGAAGACAUCACUCACAGAAGAAGCACCGGCUAACUCCGUGCCAGCAGCCGCGGUAAUACGGAGGGUGCAAGCGUUAAUCGGAAUUACUGGGCGUAAAGCGCGCGUAGGCGGCGUGAUAAGCCGGUUGUGAAAGCCCCGGGCUCAACCUGGGAACGGCAUCCGGAACU